CCACUGAGGUAUGAUGCAUACCAUUAUAAUGCAUGCCCCCUUUUUACAUUAGAGUAACAAACUGUCAUUGUCCUUUCACAGUACAUACCUGGGGAUUUGCCCACAGAUGACGGUCCUUCAACCUCAAUGCACGAUCUAAGCAGUUUGCCAGCAAAGGAGCUGUAUAAGGUCCAUCUUCAAAAACAAAUAAGAAAAAGUGACAUGGAGAUGGACCUUAUACAGCUUCAAAUGGAGGCGAAAAGGCUAUCCAUAAAAAAAGCAACAUUAGAAAUAGAAUUACUGGAGCAUCGCCUUAAGGAAAUAAAGAAAUGAACCACACCGCAGACCAGUGCACACAAUUUAAUAAAAGUAAUUCUGAGAAAUCCUG